GUAGGUGGCAAGCGUUGUCCGGAAUUAUUGGGCGUAAAGCGCGCGCAGGCGGUUCUUUAAGUCUGAUGUGAAAGCCCACGGGCUCAACCGUGGAGGGUCAUUGGAAACUGGAGAACUUGAGUACAGAAGAGGAAAGCGGAAUACCACGUGUAGCGGUGAAAUGCGUAGAGAUGUGGAGGAACACCAGUGGCGAAGGCGGCUUUCUGGUCUGUAACUGACGCUGAGGCGCGAAAGCGUGGGGAGCAAACAGGAUUAGAUACCCUGGUAGUCCACGCCGUAAACGAUGAGUGCUAAGUGUUAGGGGGUUUCCGCCCCUUAGUGCUGCAGCUAACGCAUUAAGCACUCCGCCUGGGGAGUACGGCCGCAAGGCUA
rnacentral:rRNA from 1 species